GCGAGUCACACUCCAAAGCAGAAGGUGGCGCUAAUGCGCAAAUAGCUUGGAUAUCAACCGCCCAUAAUACGUUCAAGCAACAGCCGUAACAGAGAAAGAAGACGAAGUAGAAGACGACCAAGUUGUGCCGCCGAAUGAAAGCUGGAAGUACACAGGAGCGAUAAUGGUGAAGAUUUUCAUUGGUAACCUGUCCCAGCACGCUGGGAAGGAAGAAGUGGAAGCUCUGUUUACCCAGUACGGCACUGUGACAGAAUGUGCCAAGUACAAAAACUAUGCUUUUGUCCACAUGGAAGACCGCAAGUCAGCCACCAAAGCCAUCCGGGAGCUCAAUCAAUACAAGCUGAAUGGCAGGCCUAUCAACGUGGAGCCCAGCAGAGGGAAGGGCCCCCAGGGCCCUGUGAAGAUCCAUGUAGCCAAUGUAGAAAAGGGCUUUGAUAAAGAGCUCCGUGACCUGUUUGAAGAGUACGGCACUGUCACAGAGUGUUCCAUUGUCAAGAACUUUGCCUUUGUGCACAUGCCCAAUUCUGAGGAAGCCAUGGAUGCCAUACAGGGCCUGGAUAAUGCAGAGUUUCAAGGAAAGCGCAUACAUGUUCAGUUAUCAAAAAGCAGACCCAGAGGGGCACCAGAGGAGGAGGACUAUCCACCUCCACCAGGCAGAGGAGGUUAUUAUCCUCCUCGCUACCCAAUGGAGAGGCCCGAGCCUCCCUACAGAGGUCGCAUGCCUUACCCUCCUCCGCCGCCAUUGCCUGCCCCUCCGAGGCGAGCUGCUUACCCCGACCGUGGUUAUGGUGAGCGAGAUGGCUAUGGGGUUGUCGAUUACUAUGAAAAAUUCAGAGCCCAUCCUUACAGCUCAACAGGUUAUGAUGACAGGCGAUCCAGUGCCAUCCCCCCUCCUCCACCUCCUCCCUCGGCACUGGUUAGAGAACGUCUCGGAAUGGGCGCCCCUGACCCAUACGAGCGCCGUCCGCUCCCCCCUCCUCCUCCUCCUCCUCCGUCCUCCAUGAUCAGGGACCGAAGUCCUAUCAGGCGAGCCCCCCCUGCGCCACCUUCAUCAGCUGGUAACGGGUACUCUUAUGAACGGUCCCGGCUCUCCCCGCUGUCGAGACCUCCAAUGUAUUCAGCCCCUCGCCCCAGGGACUCCUUCACGGAGAGAAUGCCGCUGCCGCCCCCACCACCACCACGAUAUGCAGGCUAUUAGGCCCACGCGAGUGUAAUACAAGGUUAGAUUCUGUGAAGGAGAUGGCAGCUCAUGGUAAGUUGUCCUUGGAAGAUGUGCAGCAUCCUGUUGAGAAGAGGCCUGUCCUGAGUUUUUGGUCUCUGAACAUGAAAAGCUGUGAAAAUAUGUGGUCAGACGGUUUUGUACAUGAAGGAAGUGGAUGUGGUCCUUCAGUGAGAGUUUGGAUCAGUAAUUGGAUGAAUUGGGGCAUCCGAUGUUAUCAGAAAACCUGCACGAUUACAUCUUUGUUCUCUCCAGCUGAUGACACCGAAAUAAUGGAUGAUGUUCGCGUGGUGAAAACAUUUUGGAUUGAUUUUUAUUUUCUCAAGACAUCUCAAACUUGACAAAGACAUUUUUAACAAAAAAAGCUUACCUCCAUCUGUACCUUCCCACAAGGGUCCUCUAACCAGCCGUCUUUUCCUAACUGAUGAAAAGGAGGUAUGGAUUAUUACUAUACAGUGUUACAAUUUUGACUGGAUUUUGCUAUAAAACCACUGGAUGUCCUUUGACACACAAUUGUUAAACCUUCUUGUUCUGUAAAAAUUCAUACCUAUCAACUACUAUAUGCACAUGAAACCACUUUAUAUUGUACUGUAGGCAGUUAUAAACAGAUAUUUGCAAGACUUCAUUUUUGAUGAAAUGUAUAAACUGUCUUAUUUUACGUUGCCUUUCCAGUAUGAAGCAUAGUAAACCUUACUGAAUGAAAGGGGCGUCUGGACUGACGUCUUAAGAUAUAAGAUAGCAUGCACUGGAUAAGAAGCAAGCACAUCCUCGACAGGUGGAUAGAUAUCAUGUCUGUUACUUGUGAAAAGAAAAAGUAAGACAAAGCGAUCUCUCAUUUUACUCAAAGUAUAAUUUGAAAUCCUAAUUAUCUUUAAAAAAAACGAGAAGUGGCGUUUUCUCUUUUCCCCUUUUGAGAGUUUUAUUUGCUAACUGAAGCCAUUUCAGGUCACUUGCUGUUUCUUAAUCACAAUUCCUCCUCCCAAGAAUCGAGUUGUGAGAAAUCACGUGUGGUGGUUUUAGUGUUACUGUGUUGCCUGGAAGUUCUCAAAUAUGUUUUACUGGACUCACCUAAGUGCCUCCUACCCAACACAACAAUCUCAUUCCAAACAUUUAUGACUGUUGUACUCAUCAUUCCUGAAGUCUGGUGUUAAUGACCACAAUAACACAGUGAUCGCUGAUCUCAUUCUUUGUUUCCUUCAGUGUAGUAAGAUAAGGAUUCUCCAGCCAGACUGGACUUUGUUCUGAGACUAUACAGAGAUAGUAUCAGUUUGUUUUAUCAGUUCUUUGACUGUUUGCGGAUUCCCAACCAGAGGCACUUGUACUCCAGAUGGAGAGAGAAAAAAAUCCACUGACAAAAAAGAUUUUAAAAACUACAUCCACAUAUUGACAAUUGAUUUUGGUGUUACUGAAGAGUGUGUAAGUAAGUAAGGGGAGGAAAUUAAAUAAAUAGUUAAAAGUAAAUCCAGAUAAAUACUUGAAUUAGCUAAAAACUGUAGAAAUAGAUAAGUAAUGGAUAUAUGGCUUGAAUGUUUCACAGUUUUUGCUAAUCUGUGUGGUUAUAGUGUGUUUGUAAAGUUUAUGAAACCAAACACUGACAGCUCAAAAGUGUAAAAAUACUGUCCAUGAUGCACUGUCUCAUCUGUGCAUCAAUAUGUUGUUUUGGGUUUUUUUUUAAAUUUAAUCUGUUCAUGUAAUGUUGAGUAGAGAAUCUGAUAAACAUGUGUGCACACUAUCCAAACACAUUUACUUAUGUAAAGCAGGUCCUUGUACUGUAUUUCCAUUUUAUAUUAUUCCAUUUUAUUUUAUUUCCACUCCU